rnacentral:rRNA from 1 species
UCGGGCCUCGCGGGAAAACGAUGGGCCUCUUCUUGAAAGCUAUCGCCCAGGAGAUGAAGCCCCGCGCCCCCAUUAGCUAGUUGGCGGGGUAACGGCCCACCAAGGCGACGAUGGGUAGCUGGUCUGAGAGGACGACCAGCCACACUGGAACUGAGACACGGUCCAGACUCCUACGGGAGGCAGCAGUCGGGAAUUUUGGGCAAUGGGCGCAAGCCUGACCCAGCAACGCCGCGUGAGGGAUGAAGGCCUUCGGGUCGUAAACCUCUGUCGGGAGGGACGAAAGGCGCGCGGGUAAAAAAUCCGCGUACUUGACGGUACCUCCAAAGGAAGCGCCGGCUAACUCCGUGCCAGCAGCCGCGGUAA